AACGAACGCUGGCGGCAUGCCUAACACAUGCAAGUCGAACGACACCUUCGUGUCUAGUUGCUCAUGGGUGCGUAACGCGUGGGAACCUGCCCUUAGGUUCGGAAUACCUCCCCGAAAGGGGUGCUAAUACCGGAUAAUGUCUUCUGACCAAAGAUUUAUCGCCUUUGGAUGGGCCCGCGUUGUAUUAGCUAGUUGGUAGGGUAAAAGCCUACCACGGCGACGCUCCAUAGCUGGUCUGAGAGAAUGAGCAGCCACACUGGGACGGAGACACGGCGCAGAAUACUAGGGGAGGCAGCAGAGGGGAAUAUAGGAAAAUGGGCGGAAGGCUGAACCAGCAAGGCCGCGAGAGUGAUGAAGGCCUUAGGGUUGUAAAGCUCUUUUACCCGGGAUGAUAAUGACAGUACCGGGAGAAUAAGCACCGGCUAACUCCGUG
rnacentral:rRNA from 1 species